rfam:Microbacterium sediminis strain YLB-01 Scaffold11_1, whole genome shotgun sequence.
GCGCGAGUGGCGGAAUAGGUAGACGCGCUGGCUUCAGGUGCCAGUGUUCGCAAGGACGUGGGGGUUCAAGUCCCCCCUCGCGCA